AGAAAGCCGCGCCGGCCCCAGUCCCCAUGGGCUGAAGGCAGGUUGAGUUCUUCCCCAGGUCUGCGAGCCUCGAAGGCUUCUUUCAGACAGCAGACCCCUUAGAAGCGCAAGGCUGCUUUCUGACAAAGAAUCAAGUGUUCCUUUCAACCAGCCAAGGGACUGGUUUUCUCGCUGACCCUUUGACAGCUCCAGCCGGUCCCUCCAUUCGAGGUCCCUGACUUCCUGCAACAGACUGAGAUGGCCUUCUGAGCUUUUCCAGGGCUGACGACCACCUUCUUGAUACCUUCCCCUCUCUCGUUCUGAAUCCGUGCCCACCAGAUGGGGCCGUCUAGUUGCAGGAAAACAAGCUCAGGGCUCCCACUGAUUCUACAUGAUGGGAAUCCAGGCUUUCGGAGAUGAGGACUGGGAGGUCUCCAGACCACACAAGCCCCCUAUUUGCACUGGCCUUUGGAAUGAGCCUACAGCCUGCCUCCACUCCUCCUGGUACCCCAGCUGUUCUCAAGGAAUUGGCCAGAAGUCAGACUCCUUUCCCAGCUGUCCUCCACUUCUUUCCUGCCAGGCACCCUAGGCCCCAUGGUGGGAUUGGGCCUAUAGGCUGUGAUUUUCCACAUCCUUGUCAAACCUGUACUACCUGAAUGCCUAGAGGAAAAGAUACUGCCUUAAUUACUA